rnacentral:rRNA from 1 species
UGCCAGCCGCCGCGGUAAUACGUAGGGACCAAGCGUUGUCCGGAAUUAUUGGGCGUAAAGAGCUCGUAGGCGGUUCGGUAAGUCGGGUGUGAAAAUCCCGGGCUCAACCCUGGGACGCCACCCGAUACUGCUGUGACUAGAGUCCGGUAGAGGAGCGUGGAAUUUCUGGUGUAGCGGUGAAAUGCGCAGAUAUCAGAAGGAACACCAGUGGCGAAGGCGGCUUUCUAGCCUAUUCCUGACGCUGAGGCGCGAGAGCUAGGGGAGCAAACAGGAUUAGAUA